GUGACCAGAGACCAGAGGAGACCGGAGACCAGAGGAGACCAGAGACCAGAGGAGACCAGAGACCAGAGGAGACCAGAGGAGACCAGAGGAAACCGGAGGAGACCGGAGACCAGAGGAGACCAGAGGAGACCGGGGACCAGAGGAGACCAGAGACCAGAGGAGACCAGAGGAGACCAGAGACCAGAGGAGACCGGAGACCAGAGGAGACCAGAGGAGACCAGAGACCAGAGGAAUCCAGAGACCAGAGGUGACCAGAGACCAGAGGAGACCAGAGACCAGAGGAGACCGGAGACCAGAAGAGACCGGAGGAGACCGGGGACCAGAGGAGACCAGAGACCAGAAGAGACCGGGGACCAGAGGUGACCAGAGGAGACCAGAGACCAGAGACCAGAGGUGACCAGAGACCAGAGGAGACCAGAGGUGAUCAGAGACCAGAGGAGACCAGACACCAGAGGAGACCAGAGGUUACCCAGCAGGUCUGAAGGAGUACACCAGAGACCCUGUGGCUUACUGACCUUUGCUGCUGAUGGCGGAGGAGUCUGAGAAGUGCCUCUUGAAUGUUGCAUGAUGGGAGUUUCCUGAGGGUCUGGAGGUCACCGUCUGCGGGCGGAAUGUCCCGGGAGCGUCUCUGAGGUGACGUGGUCCAACAUGGCUGCCGGGAUGGCUCUGAGAGAGAGCUGAUUGGUCGGCUGUGACCCCAGCGCCCUUCGUCUGGGCGUCCCCCCCCUGGCCGCUCGCAGCCCUCCCGCCGGCCACCGGGGCCGAGUUAGUGCGCCUGUACCCGCACGCCAGCGGCUGGCCCGCGCCCCGCGGGGGGGCGGGCCCGAUGGCCACUGGCGUGGUGGAGAGGCCCCGCCCACGGGCGGGCGUGCUGGGGUGACCCCGCCCGCAGGGAGGGGCCUGAGGGGCCGAGGAGGGCUGGCUGUUGGAGAACUUCUCUACGUCCUCACACACCUGGAGCAGCAGCUGGUCGUCUCCGCCCUCGUCCCACCAGCCGUCCGGGGCCCCGGGGCCCUGGACCGCCGCGCUCGACUGAGGCUUCACCGUGGUUACCGGCUUCACCGUGGUUACCGGCUUCACCGUGGUUACUGGUGUCACCAUUGUUAGCGCCAUCACCGUGGUAACGGGCUGCCUUUUGACAGGUUGAACUGCCUGCAGGUGCUCUGACCUGUGAUUGGUCAAGGCGGGGGGGGCCAAGCACUCUGAACCUUGAUUCGUCAAGGCGGGGGGGGCCAAGCACUCUGACCCUUGAUUCGUCAAGGCGGGGGGCCAGGCGCUCUGACCCGUGAUUGGUCGAGGCGGGGGGGCAGGCGCUCUGACCUGUGAUUGAUUGAGGCGGGGGGUGCCAGACACCUUGGGUUGGGCUCCAGUCUGAAGGUGCUGCGCUGGGGGGUCCUGGGUCCGGGACAGCCGCCCCUGGGUCCGGGAGUCCUCCCCUGGGGUGGGCAGGAGGAGUCGACCCCCGGGGGAGCCCCUGAGGUCGUGGCAACCACCAGCGAGUCGUUCAUCAGGUCAUCGUCCUCCCAGUCGUCCUCAAAGUCAUCCUCAAAAUCCUGGACCACCGGCCCCGGGCCCCGGACCGCCACCCCCGGGGGCCGGUCUGAGGGCCUGAGGGGUCCCUGGCUCAGGGGCCCGCUGAGGGCCCCUUGGCUGAGGGCUCCCUGGCUGAGGGGCCCACUGACCCCCUUUCUGAGGGGCCCGCUGAACCCCUGACUGAGGGGCCCCUCGCUGAGGGUCCCCUGGCUCAGGGCCCCACUGACCUUCUGGGUGGAGCUGUCGAACAGCGCCCGGAGCUCCGCCUCCACCCGCUGCGACUCAGAGGGGGGGGGAAGCGGAGGGGGGGUUGCGGCCAGGUUGCUGGUGGAACGGGGGUCAUCAGCCAGGUCGCCGUGGGGACGAGGGGCGGCGGCCAGGUCGCCGUGGGGACGCCGGGCAGCGGCCAGGUAACCGUGGGGACGGGGGUCAUCAGCCAGGUCGCCGUGGGGACGUAGGGCAGCGGCCAGGUCGCCGUGGGGACGUGGGGCAGCGGCCAGAUCGCCGUGGGGACGUGGGGCAGCGGCCAGGUCGCCGUGGGGACGUGGGGCAGCGGUCAGGUCGUCGUGGAGACGAGGGGCGGCGGCCAGGUCGUCGGAGCGCUCCAUGUUCCGGUCGAAGGCUCGGGCCAGCUCCACCAGGCCGUCCACACUGCUCUGCCUGGGGAGAGAGACACAUCAGGACCCCCAUUAGAUACUAGUUAUAGCUCGAUUAGGAAUCAGACCUGCCCAGGAGGAGGGUGGGGUCCUGCCCCAGGAGGACUAGAGGUAGACUCUGACCUGACUGAGCGCCUGCGGGCGCGGUGCGUCCGGGGCUCGGGGGUGCAGGACACCCCGCAGUCGCCCAUCCACUGCAAGAGGGGCGACGGCGCCGGCCGGACGUCCUGCGGGCAUCGGACACACGGCCGUUAGACCAGCCACCAUGACACCUUCACUGCCCAGAGGCGGCCUGACGCUAGGCGGUGUAAUGCUAGGCGCGGUGUGACGCUAGGCGGUGUAAUGCUAGGCGCGGUGUGACGCUAGGCGGUGUAAUGCUAGGCGCGGUGUGACGCUAGGCGGUGUAAUGCUAGGCGUGGUGUGACGCUAGGCGGUGUGUGAUGCUAGGCGGUGUGUGAUGCUAGGCGGUGUGUGAUGCUAGGCAACGUGUGGUGCUAGGCAGCGUGACUCUAGACAGUGUUACGCUAGGCAGCGUGACACUAGGCAGUGUGUGAUGCUAGGCGGUGUGACGCUAGGCAGCGUGACUCUAGGCGGUGUGAAGCUAGGCGUGCUGUGAUGCUAGGCACGGUGUGAUGCUAGGCGUGGUGUGAUGCUAGGCGGUGUGUGAUGCUAGGCACAGUGAGUUGCUAGGCGCAGUGUGAUGCUAGGUGUGGUAUGAUGCUAGGCGGUGUGUGAUGCUAGAUGCGGUGUGUGAUGCCUGGCGCGGUGUGAUGCUAGGCGCGGUGUGAUGCUAGGCGUGGUGUGAUGCUAGGCGCAGUGUGAUGCUAGGUGCGGUAUGAUGCUAGGCGGUGUGUGAUGCUAGGCGGUGUGUGAUGCUAGGCGCGGUGUGUGAUGCUAGGCGCAGUGUGAUGCUAGGCGGUGUGUGAUGCUAGGCGCGGUGUGAUGCUAGGCGGUGUGUGAUGCUAGGCGGUGUGUGAGGCGAACCCGGUGGACGGUAGCUGUACCGACCUUGGGGGGCGAUGCGGUUCACUAUGUCGGAUAUCUUCACCAUCCUGGUGGUCCUGGAACCCCCGCCUGGAAACACAUGAUAGCAGCUGAUCGUACAGGCUUCAUUACAGCACCAGCAUUCUGUCCCACCCCCCUGUGAGUGAGGGUACGUACUGGGGCCGGGCUGGGUGGGGGAGGUGGGGUCCCAGAUGAUGUCCUGGGUGACCUCGUCCCCCGGGAGAGUCCCCGCUAGUCAAGACCGAGUAGCGGUCGCAGGUCCAUCGUCUGGGGGUCUGCACGGCUGAGACAGAACACUCAGUC
ensembl:lncRNA